ensembl:snoRNA SNORD104 small nucleolar RNA, C/D box 104
GCCGUGAUGAUAUAAAUGAAAGCACGUGUUAGACUGCUGACGAGGGUGAUGCGAACUGGAAUCUGAGC